AUUGAACGCUGGCGGCAGGCCUAACACAUGCAAGUCGAGCGCGCGGCGGACGGGUGAGUAAUGUAUGGGGACUGCCCGAAAGAGGGGGAUAACUACUGGAAACGGUAGCUCAUACCGCAUACUAUCGGAUAAUACAUCUGGGAUUAGCUAGUAGGUGGGGUAUUGGCUCACCUAGGCGACGAUCCCUAGCUGUUCUGAGAGGAUGAUCAGCAACACUGGGACUGAGACAUGGCCCAGACUCCUACGGAGGCAGCAUUGGGGAAUAUUGCACAAUGGGCGCAAGCCUGAUGCAGCCAUGCCGCGUGUAUGAAGAAGGCCCUAGGGUUGUAAAGUACUUUCAGUCGGGAGGCGUUACCGACAGAAGAAGCACCGGCUAACGCCGUGCCAGCAGCCGCGGUAAUAC
rnacentral:rRNA from 1 species